rnacentral:rRNA from 1 species
GACGAACCACACGAACGUUAUUCGGAAUUACUGGGCUUAAAGGGUGCGUAGGCGGCGCGGUAAGUAGGGUGUGAAAUCCCUCGGCUCAACCGAGGAACUGCGCUCUAAACUACCGUGCUCGAGGGAGAUAGAGGUGAGCGGAACUUAGGGUGGAGCGGUGAAAUGCGUUGAUAUCCUAAGGAACACCGGUGGCGAAAGCGGCUCACUGGAUCUCUUCUGACGCUGAGGAACGAAAGCUAGGGGAGCAAACGGG